UUCCAUCUCCUCACCUCACCAUCUCUCAAAACCCUAGAGACUGCCGCCUUGAAAUCCUCCGUCGGUGGCAACUCCAUAAACGCCCCUAAAUCACUCCAAAAUUACACCAAACAUUCCUCACCUCCUCUUCUUUCUAAAUUACCAAGUCAAUCCUUUUGAUUCUUCCCCAAAUUGGUUCAAUUUCGGAUCUGAGAGCAUGCAAAGCCGUCACAAAUUGAUUUUUUUUUUCAAAGAAGAUUUGAGCCGGAAAAUGGGUGUUAUCCGUCUGUUCUCGACGAGAACAGUCGCCUAACACCUAUUGCAACUUAAAUCAGAGGCGUCUACUUCCCUUUAAGCCGUUUGAUUCACGUUCCGGUAUAGGUAUGUAAGGUUGAACCCCUGUGAUCAUGUGAAUAAUACACCUGAAAGUUUUAAGUUCGUUGGAUGUUGUCACUUAGUAGCUGUUCUUUUGCUUUGCUGGAGACUGGUUUUAUGAUGUUUAAGUCUAUUUCAUUUUGUUUUUUCCCCUCCCCGUUUUGCUUUCAGCAUAUUAGAAGUUAGCUAAAAAAUUUGUACAUAAUAGAUGUGUGUUCUAAGUAUGGACCAUGUUGUGAGGUGUGGGGAAGGUAUUUGUGCAUGUAAGUUACAUUUUAGGAGAUCUGUUUGAAGCUUCAGCUACAUGGAUGUUUUGUUAAGAUGGGAGUCUAUUCAUUUUUAUGUUGAUGAUGAGUCAGUAGUACAUUCAAUAGUUAA